rnacentral:rRNA from 1 species
GAUGAACGCUAGCUACAGGCUUAACACAUGCAAGUCGAGGGGCAGCAUUUUAGUUUGCUUGCAAACUGAAGAUGGCGACCGGCGCACGGGUGAGUAACACGUAUCCAACCUGCCGAUAACUCCGGGAUAGCCUUUCGAAAGAAAGAUUAAUACCGGAUAGUAUACGAAUAUCGCAUGAUAUUUUUAUUAAAGAAUUCGGUUAUCGAUGGGGAUGCGUUCCAUUAGUUUGUUGGCGGGGUAACGGCCCACCAAGACUACGAUGGAUAGGGGUUCUGAGAGGAAGGUCCCCCACAUUGGAACUGAGACACGGUCCAAACUCCUACGGGAGGCAGCAGUGAGGAAUAUUGGUCAAUGGGCGCGAGCCUGAACCAGCCAAGUAGCGUGAAGGAUGAAGGCUCUAUGGGUCGUAAACUUCUUUUAUAUGGGAAUAAAGUUUUCCACGUGUGGAAUUUUGUAUGUACCAUAUGAAUAAGGAUCGGCUAACUCCGUG